CCAACCCGAAACCAAUUCACCCUUUUUCACUUUUCCUCUUUCUUCUUCCGUCGAAAUAAGGGUUAGAGAAACAUACUCUUCCAUUGGCGACCUCACCACCAGCGAACUACAAAUUUAGGUUUUUCUUUUCAUCAUUUUCUUCUUCUCUUUAAUUUUUAUUUUGAGUUUCUGAAUUUCUUGUGGGUUAUUUCGAUUUCAAUUUGUAUUAUUUGCUACAAAGUUAGGUUUUAUUCUGAAAUUUUCAACUUCAGUUGAUGUUUGAUGGUAUUGAUGUUUGAUGGUUUCAACUUCAAUUUGUAUUUUCUUCUCUUUAAUUGAUGUUUGAUGGUACUUCAAUUGAAUUUUUCAACUCUCUAUUACUCUGACUAGAAUAGUAGUUGUGGAGCAAAUAAAAGACUUUAACUUCGUCAGUUGUAAGUUGUAACCCGUGGAUCCUUUGAGCCUCUUGGGUAAUAUAAAGCUGCUUGUUUUUCUGUAUUGAAAUUUUGAUUGAAUUUGUUAUAAUAUGUUGGUGAUUGUCCGAAAAAAUUUAAGGGUCAACCAUAUGUUUUGUAAUUUUAUUUUCCUGGUAUUAUUUGAUAACCAUUUGUAAUUUUUGAAAUGAUCAUGUGUUUGUGAUACUUACAGUAGGUUGGCUUAUCGUCUCUAGUUAUGUAAAUUUGUAAUUAUAAUUGCUUAGUUGAGUUUUAAGCAUUUGAUUUUCUUGAUAUAGUUGAAAUAGUUGGUUAUCUUUGAUGUUUCUGCUUGUGCACAUUUAUCAUAUGUUGUAUUGUUUUCUAUUGAUGGAGUUCUUUUGAGUCAUGAAUCAUGUGGCAUGUGGAUUUUAUGACUUCCUUUUGUUUGUGGUUAGAAAUUAUUGGUGGGAUUUUUGGUGAAUGGAAUGAUGGUUGUAUUUAAUCAAUGAUUCGUGGUUGAAUUAGUUUUAAUAAAAAUUAAUUGGGAAAGGGUUUUAAUAUGAAUGGUAAUAUUUUGCUACUGUAUAAUUGGGAGAAAGUUGUACGCAUACUGAUGUUUUCUAAAAAUUUAUUUCAAAAUAUUGAUGUUUUACACUACACUUUCAUGUCUCAUUUCAAUGAAUUUUAGCUUCAGAAAAAAAAUGUUUUGGCUUCACCUUGUUAACUGCAAUUUUUAGUUUCUGGGAAUCACCAAGGCGCAAACGAGCCUAAAGGACCUCUUGAGGCACUUAGGCCUAAGCUUCAGGUAUUUGUCCAUCUGUCUCACCUUGUGAAAUCCCUUUUCUUAUCUGAACUCUUAUCAUAGAAAUUUAAAUGAUUAUGUCCUUCAUAGUUGGUAGUUUGCGGUACCUUAAGCAUCUUGAGCCCUUAGGACAUUGAGCCGGUUCCUUGUGGUACUUUUAAAAGAUUGGCUGAUGGAGCAGAAGUAGAAGUCGAUUAAGUAUGUUUUAGUCCCAAUUGAUGCUUCGCAAGAAAUUCUUCGUCAUGCUUAUCAGUUACUCUGUAUGUUUAAUUUUCUUCCUUGCACAUUGUACUGAGUUUGUCUAGAGAGGGUUUGUUAGUCUGUCUAAAUCUCCUAAUUCAAUUUGUGUUGAUAUAGCAGGUUUGAACAUUGAUUCACUGAAUGAAGUUGUUGUUUAUCGUGCAACAGUCGAAUGCGAUAGAUAGUGACAGGAAUAGAUUUGCUGAUACUUUAGGGUUGCAACGGUUAGGCUAUAUCCUAUGUACCAUUGUACGCCACCUUGAGAUUCUGGACUCUAUUUUUCUCUGGCUAAUAAUAUGUUUCCAUGCUUGGCAUCUUAGACGAAUUGAUAGUGUUGUGUUAUGUCAUGCAGGUCCUAAAGUAGUGGAGUUCAUCAUUAACCAUGCUGAAGUCUCUUUAGUUUUUGUUCAAAAAGAUCUGGUUUCUGAGUUUACUGAGUUAUAAGAUUUUGAUCAUCUAGUUGUUUUUUGGUGCUUUAGGUUAGAACAGAGGUGGGUAGAGGUGUCUAUUAAUACUCAAGUCGAUACACUUGUAAAUGUAGUGAAUCAAGGUGUCAAGUCCAACUCGUAUGGCUCUGAUGCUGCUAUAAAUAAGACAAUGGUGUUUGCGAAUAUUGUUGAUGCAGUAAAGUCAGUAGCUAAAAUACUGCAGACUUCUGGGAUCCAAUGUUUCUGCUACCAUAGGAACAAUUCUCUUCAAGAACCUACAAAUAACUUAGUUGACUUCGGAGAAAGGGGUCGUGUGCUAGUGUGCACUGAUGUUGCGGCUCGUGUCUUGACAUUUCCAAUAUAUUACACGUUAUUCAGAUACUAGAAUGCUUAUCAAAGUGUAACUACCUAAAAAAAGCUUUGAGAAUGUCUCAAGCACACAAAGGAAGAAAGCUGAGGUAGCAGCGUAUGUUGUUUCUCUUGGGAUGAAUUCUCUCAAUUGGGAACUAUGGUUUGUGAACUCCCUUCGAAACAGAAGACUGAUGUCUGCAUUAUAAUGUACACAAGUGGCACAAGCGCACAACAGGAGAGCCAAAUCUAAGAGAGCCAAAAGGGAUGGGUUUAAUCUAUGCAGCUUUCAUAGCAGCUUCGAGUGUUCUCAUGAUUCACACAUCUAUUCACCUCACGUUAAUUUGAAGUUCUGUGCUGAAAGCCUGACACAUUUUGAUAGCUAGACAUAAAUGUUCAGAUUUUUUAUUUGAGGGAACAUAAAGUUUUGAAUGGAUGUGGUAGAUUAUCUCAUUAAUGCUAGAUUGAAAUUUAAGAAA